AUAUUGAACGCCUGGACAGCUCCUGGAUUGCCACAUCAGAUAAAGGGACGGAUCUGUACGCCUGGUGCCAUAUCUUCUGUCGGCAUCUAAUAGGGGACGCCACAAGACUGGAGAUGAGCCAUCCCACAGAAGGGAGGAUGUUGCUGAGCCAGCGCAUCUCUACCAUGCUCCCGUCGCCGUCAAGGAGGUUUGAUUUUUGUCACCGUAGGCCUUAACCUUUUAUUGCAAUAUCUGAUUGAAAGGUGAUUUGAUAAAAAUCCUGAUAUUUUGUUUUCUGAUUGCGAGAAGGCAAUUAUCUUUAUAUCGUCACGCCUACUUCCUAGUAUCACGUUGUCUGGGACCGCCCAUCUUGAUACUUCGUUCUGAUCAGCUUAGAUCCUUCCCGCCAUCUCAUUAUUAUUCCCAGGUCCACGUGACCCAUGUAACUUCCUUGUUCAAUAAAGUAGUCAGAUAGCA